rnacentral:tRNA from 1 species
GUAAGAGAAGUAUAAUUUUUACGUUUCAGUUACAUUGAAAAAAUUCUUAGGUUAAGACUCUUAUA